rnacentral:rRNA from 1 species
AUGCUAAAUUUCUGUGGGUGGGGGACGUCAUCCAGGCGACAUCGAUGCGCCGGUGGGAUCUUCCUGCCACAUGUGCAUCCCGUCCUGCUUAUGAACCCUCUUAACAUCCCCAGCUCCGGGCGCCAUUUCUACCUCGCCGUUGACCGCCUCCAGUUCAAGAUGAGGACACUACUGGAGCUCCUAGGUGUUGUCUCUGAUCGCCACGGCUCGGUACCCAUUGCCAUAUGUGUUUCAUCCCGGGAUGAGCUAGAUGCUGUCUGUGCUGCUGUUGCCAACCUCCCCUUCGUGUCCUUGUCACCGCUGUACAGCGAUCAAGAUGAAGCUGAGCGUGCAUCUGUUCUUGAGAAAUCCCGUCGGGCAGCAAUACAGCGAAAUCAGAUUGAAGAUACUUCUAUUGGCGAAAGUCCCAAGCCUGAAAGGGUGGUCUUGAAGCUAAAUAUUACAGUUGUAACAGAUGCUUGCUUGCCUUCGGCGGCGAUGGGAGAGGCUCCCCUUAUGUCUCGUGUACUGAUAAACUAUGAAUUGCCUACAAAGAAGAUGGAAUCGUGA